rnacentral:lncRNA from 1 species
AGAGGGGAUGUGUGAUCUACGUACCCUUGUAUACCGUACAGCAGAAGCGUUAGUGAACGCGGUUGAUGUAGUGGAACGUCCUCACCUCCCUCGAUCCGCCCCGCGAACCGUCCCGCGAUCAGUCCCACGAUCUAGUGCCGAACGGACGGCACCUCCGCGUUCAGCACACGUACAGCUCGACGAUGAUCUCGGCCUUCUUGAUCCAGCAAGAGAGACGAUGAGGUAGAAG